GUAAGGAAUAUUGGUCAAUGGGCGCAAGCCUGAUCCAGCAAUGCCGCGUGCAGGAAGAAGGCCUUCGGGUUGUAAACUGCUUUUGUACGGAACGAAACGGUCCUGGUUAAUACCUGGGGCUAAUGACGGUACCGUAAGAAUAAGCACCGGCUAACUACGUGCCAGCAGCCGCGGUAAUACGUAGGGUGCAAGCGUUAAUCGGAAUUACUGGGCGUAAAGCGUGCGCAGGCGGUUUUGUAAGACAGGCGUGAAAUCCCCGGGCUCAACCUGGGAAUUGCGCUUGUGACUGCAAGGCUGGAGUGCGGCAGAGGGGGAUGGAAUUCCGCGUGUAGCAGUGAAAUGCGUAGAUAUGCGGAGGAACACCGAUGGCGAAGGCAAUCCCCUGGGCCUGCACUGACGCUCAUGCACGAAAGCGUGGGGAGCAAACAGGAUUAGAAACCCCGGUAGUCC
rnacentral:rRNA from 1 species